rnacentral:lncRNA from 1 species
AUCAGAAUAUAAUCAGUGCAUCACAGGCACAUAAAAAUGAAAUCAGUGCAUCACAGGGGCAUCACAGUGAAAACAGUGCAUCACAGGCACAUCACAAUGAAAUCAGUGCAUCACAGGGGCAUCACAGUGAAAUCAGUGCAUCACAGGCACAUAAAAAUGAAAUCAGUGCAUCACAAGCGCAUCAGUACAUGUACUAUAUGAGAGCAAGAGUAUUUGCAGAGUUGCUAUUUAACACAAGUGGAAGUUCUCCUAAGACUAGGUAUGCAAUUUUCUUUACAAAUUUACCAAUAAUCUGACUAUUACUCAAUCAUGUCAAACAAAGGAACAUAAAGGCUCUCAUCAGCACUUUGAAGGACAAAAGGCUUAUACAAUUUCAGAUCAUCAACUUUGUCAUCAAAACCAUCAAACACAGUGAAUGCAUGCUGGUAGAGUAAAUGGCUUUCUGCAUAGUGACCUGAAGUGACGCUGUCAACUCCUCACCACCAGUAAAAUCCCUCAGGGAAAAUGCUUUCAUCGGUCCAUUCUCCAUAUGUCGCAAUGGUGAUGUCUCCCAGUGAUGACCUAUAGCAAAUUGGUUUUUUUGGCAAGGGACUUAGUAAUGUUCUUGAAGUUUUUGAGGGUGUUCUAAAGAGUUUGUGCUUUGCCUCAAACCUCAUAUGUAAUAAAGGACUGCUUUGUCUUAUGCAUGCUGGGUAAUGUAUCAUAAAGUGAUGUGUGGGUAUUACGUUAUGUGGGUACAACUGUUUGAAAAGUGUGUGAUGUUCAGUUAUCAAAUGCUUCAAAUACUGUCAUGCCCUGGCUAAGAAAAGUAAAAAAAAAAAGAUUAUUGCAGUAAGAUGAGCAGCAAAUUCAAGUUCUAAUUUCCUGGUGGAACAACAUGUCCCAAAAUCAAGGGAACGUUCCUCACAAGACAGAGUUUGAAAAUAAUUAAGUGCUAUGCUAUUUCCACUGUUCUCUAGGUUGACUUUAGUUGAAUGGUUUUUGCGUUCCAUGUACCCAUAGUCAAAUGAGUAGAUUCUAGAGAGAAGUGCACGUUUCUAAAGAGCAUUUUCAGAGACAUAUUCAAACAACAAUUUUAACUCAAACUGAGCCACCCCUACAAGAAUGUCAUGCAUUAUGUCCAACGAAAAAUGACUACAAACAUGGAAGUGCUGCAAACUGUUCAGUUUAGGGUCUGACUGCAACUGAUUCAAAUGCAUUUCAAAUUGAUCUUUACCACACAAAGGUCAUCCUCACUGUAAACUGUCUGAGCAUUAGACUUUUCUAUGAAACAGAACCGGCAAGCAUCCCCAAAUUGUCUCCAGUUAUUUGGCAGAUAGAGUUUAUGUCACUUAUCAGUUGAAAGUCAUUUACACCAUCACUCCAAUUUAACAUCAUUAACCAAGGGCUCUAGAAUGGCAUAAAAUACAUAUAUCUUUAGAUCUUGAUAAUGAAAUAAUGAAAAUAAAUUAAUAUUCAUCACAGCAGAGUUAAACUUGGGUGGCAGAUUCCCGAGGACAAAAUAAAUGGCGCCUAUCUUGUGAACACCACGCUUGGAUCCAAGCAGGUUGGCAGUUUCAAAGUCAUCAUAGUACAAAAUAAUGUCAAGGUUUUGAGAACAAGGGAUGAGUCUUAAAGUAACUUCCAACACAAAAGUCAUAUGUGUCUUCCACAGAUCUAUCCCUAGGUGCAUUUUCCAAUAACUUACAGAUUUCAGAAUUGUCGACACAUGAACGGCAAUAUUUCCAGUAUAGGAAUACAAAAGUAUCUUUCACUGGGACUUCAUACAUGCCUGUUUGUUUAUUUCGCCUGCUAUCAUAUCUAACUCCCAACACUACUUCUACUGGCUCCACAACAUCUCUUGGUUUCUGUGUUAAAACUGGCAAAUGGGUUUUGAAGUUCUCAAAACUAUCCUUUACAGCAGAUGAAGAGGGGUUAUCCAUAGGCAUAACUGACAGAACAUCUUGUUUAAUUUGGGAGUGCAGCCCAGUAGUAAGCUCUUCUAAAUCACAAACUACUGUUGACACAACACUAUUUGCAACACCACUAGCUUGCAACUUGGCAAUGAAGGAGGCACACAUAUCUUUAUCAAGACUGUCCAUUCUUCUCAAAACAAUCACUGAGUGUUAUCAUGUGGGACACCAAUGUUGCCACCCAUUUGUGGAGCUUCUGACUGGACUGGAGAAUCAGCAACAUGAGAGGGCACUUUUAAGAUGAAUGCAUCAACUACUUUACCAAUAUCCUUAUGAAUACUAUUCAAAUGUUUUCUGAAACCGGAGUAUGUUGAAAACUGCCAUCUACCACCAUCUUGAGCACUGACCAAUCUAAACUUGGUGGAGGGAUAGAAACUAUGCUCAUUUCUCAAAUUAUAUGUCAAUGACUGGCUGUUUCUGUGCAACGCUUGACAACAACAGCACCUUAACAUACAUUUAUCUAGUUAAGAAGUUUUGUCCUCAACUCUAUCACGCUAGGGACCUCUCUUGUUUUGUCUACAUCAAUGUUGUAGAUGGUUGUCUGCACAAAUGUGUAGAAGUUGACAAGAGUAUCGUCAUACUUCAGGUUAAAGACAAAGUGGGCUUUGAACAGUUCAUCAAACGCACACAGACCACUAGUUGCCUGGCAGGGAACAAGCCUCUUGUCCACCAUGAUGUAGUAGUUGUCAAUCUUGCUCUGUCUUCUUCCAACGGCAAGGAGGUAUGGCUGUCGACC